rnacentral:rRNA from 1 species
UACAGAGGGGGCAAGCGUUGUUCGGAAUUACUGGGCGUAAAGCGUGCGCAGGCGGCUUUGCAAGACAGAUGUGAAAUCCCCGGGCUUAACCUCGGGAACUGCAUUUGUGACUGCAUGGCUGGAGUGCGGCAGAGGGGAUGGAAUUCCGGCGUGAGCAGUGAAAUGCGUAGAUAUGCGGAGGAACACCGAUGGCGAAGGCAAUCCCCUGGGCCUGCACUGACGCUCAUGCACGAAAGCGUGGGGAGCAAACAGG